AGUGAACGCUGGCGGUAGGCCUAACACAUGCAAGUCGAACGGCAGCACAGUAAGAGCUUGCUCUUACGGGUGGCGAGUGGCGGACGGGUGAGGAAUACAUCGGAAUCUACUUUUUCGUGGGGGAUAACGUAGGGAAACUUACGCUAAUACCGCAUACGACCUACGGGUGAAAGCAGGGGAUCUUCGGACCUUGCGCGAUUGAAUGAGCCGAUGUCGGAUUAGCUAGUUGGCGGGGUAAAGGCCCACCAAGGUGACGAUCCGUAGCUGGUCUGAGAGGAUGAUCAGCCACACUGGAACUGAGACACGGUCCAGACUCCUACGGGAGGCAGCAGUGGGGAAUAUUGGACGAUGGGCGCAAGCCUGAUCCAGCCAUACCGCGUGGGUGAAGAAGGCCUUCGGGUUGUAAAGCCCUUUUGUUGGGAAAGAAAAGCAGCAGGUUAAUACCCCGCUGUUCUGACGGUACCCAAAGAAUAAGCACCGGCUAACUUCGUG
rnacentral:rRNA from 1 species